GACGAACGCUGGCGGCGUGCUUAACACAUGCAAGUCGAACGGAAAUGCCCUGCUUUUGUGGGGUGCUCGAGUGGCGAACGGGUGAGUAACACGUGAGUAACCUGCCCUUGACUUUGGGAUAACUUCAGGAAACUGGGGCUAAUACCGGAUAGGAGCUCCUGCUGCAUGGUGGUGGUUGGAAAGUGUCGGCGGUUGGGGAUGGACUGGCGGCUCAUCAGCUUGUUGGUGGAGUAGUGGCUUACCAAGGCUUUGACGGGUAGCCGGCCUGAGAGGGUGAACGGCGACAUUGGGACUGAGAUACGGCCCAGAAUCCUACGGGAGGCAGCAGUGGGGAAUAUUGCACAAUGGGCGGAAGCCUGAUGCAGCAACGCCGCGUGCGGGAUGACGGCCUUCGGGUUGUAAACCGCUUUCGCCUGUGACGAAGCGUGAGUGACGGUAAUGGGUAAAGAAGCACCGGCUAACUACGUG
rnacentral:rRNA from 1 species